rnacentral:rRNA from 1 species
AUUGAACGCUGGCGGCAGGCUUAACACAUGCAAGUCGAACGAGUGGCGGACGGGAGAGUCAUGCUUGUGAAUCUAGCUGAUGGAGGGGGAUAACUACGGGAAACUGAAGCUAAUACCGCUUUGCAUAGGAUGAGCCCAAGUGGGAUUAGGUAGUUGGUGAGGUAAAGGCUCACCAAGCAGACGAUCUCUAGCUGGUCUGAGAGGAUGACCAGCCACACUGUGACUGAGACACGGCCCAGACUCCUACGGGAGGCAGCAGUGGGGAAUUUUGCGCAAUGGGGGAAACCUGACGCAGCCAUCCCGCGUGUAUGAAGAAGGCCUUCGGGUUGUAAAGUUCUUUCGGUAGGGAGGCGUUAACUACAGAAGAAGCACCGGCUAACUCCGUGCCAGCAGCCGCGGUAAUAC